rnacentral:sRNA from 1 species
GUGGUCAUCAUCCUGCGUCAGUGAUGG